rnacentral:lncRNA from 1 species
AACAGUGAAACAAUAGACCUUUGAAAAUAUGAAGAUAAAAACCAUUAACAAUCAGAAUCACAGAGCAGAGACACAUCAUCACAAACAAAUUUGUAACUUUAUUUACAGAAAUCAGAUUAGCACGCACUCUAGCAAAGAGCUCUCAAAAUAACCAUGCACUCUAGCAAAGAGCUCACUUCUUUUAGAAAAUGCCUAACUUUCAUAUGUAGAUCAAGAAAUGCAAAACCACAUGAUGAACACAUUAAAAUCACUGUAGAGAAAUUACAUAUCAGCAAAUACGCACUAACAAACAUGCAGAGUAAACGUGAAUUUUUUGUAUAGCAAUUAAGUAAACACAAUGUCAUCAUUGAUGAAAGGUCUGUGUAUUUGAUCAGGCAAAAACAAAUUAUCCUUAACUACUUGAUCUUCAUAAAUAAGCAAGCUCGCAAUUCUACUAUGUAACUUUACUGGACCAAACACUUUAGAGACGUAUAAUCUACUAUAUGUAAAAAUACACUAAAAUGGAAAGCACACAAACAUCUCUAGCUAAUUUAGUAAAAAAAAAUCAUGCAAAUUUCCACAUAGCACUCAUUGAUGCACCUGCUAAAUACAUCUCUCGGGGGCCUAUUUUAAUACAACCUUGGUGAACAAACAACUUUGUGAAAUGCAUAUAGGAGCUAAAAAUGGUAUAAAUUUAUGAGAAAAUAGUUUCUCACAAUAAACUAGACAAUGGCAAAUAAUUCCUUGGAAAACUUUAUGGAGUAGCAUUUCAAGCAGAAUGGAAUACCCUUGUGAUGUUAUCCUAGCAUAAAAAAGAAGAGCAAGGUACACUCAGUUUCAACAACCAGGAGUACCUACAAUCCAGAAUAAAACACAAUCCGAUCAAAUUGCUGGUGGGAACAAUAGAGCACAAUGGCCAGAUUCUAUCUAUUGCGGCAACACAAAAAUGCAGCUCAAUGAAGAAAGAGGAGGAUUGGCUUCUCAACUUUUCUCACCAAUCUCAGAUUCUCCAUUUCUUCUCCAACUCAGAUCCCGAGGCAGGUUCGUAGCUUCAUCCAUUAGGGACUCUGCACACACAACAUAGAUGAGGUAAAAAUAACUCUUCAUUCCCCUGGUGAUGUUACCAUGACCUAGUUUACUGAAGAAUCUAACACAAGUAACAUAACAGUACCUAAAAAUCGAACACCACAACAGCCCAUCCUAGAAAUCGAACAGAGAUCCAGGCCUAACGCUGGUCUCCAGAUGCAGACCCCAACACACAACAGAAAUCGAGCAUAAAAGCACCAGACCCCCAACACACUAAACAGACUACAAAUCGAAUCCAACUAACCCACUAAUGAACCAAAAUCAGACAAAAAUUGAGCGCAUAUGACACAAAUCGGUCAGGGACACGCCCCGUACACACACAUGCGCCUAUAUCUGACCUGCACCCCCACAGGCGAUGCGCCAGGCAGAGGAAUCGCGCGCAGCGGGGCGGCCGCCGCGGAAGGGCUC